UACAGAGGGUGCAAGCGUUGUUCGGAAUUAUUGGGCGUAAAGGGCGCGUAGGCGGUGCGGUAAGUCCGCAGUGAAAUCUCUGGGCUCAACUCAGAGUCUGCUGUGGAAACUGCCGUGCUAGAGUGUGGGGAGAGGUGAGUGGAAUUCCCCGGGUGUAGCGGUGAAAUGCGUAGAUAUCGGGAGGAACACCAGUGGCGAAGGCGGCUCUCUGGGGCCCCUACCUGACGCUGAGACGCGAAAAGCGUGGGG
rnacentral:rRNA from 1 species